AUUGAACGCUGGUGGCAGGCCUAACACAUGCAAGUCGAACGAGUGGCGGACGGGCGAGUAAUGUCUGGGAAACUGCCUGAUGGAGGGGGAUAACUACUGGAAACGGUAGCUAAUACCGCAUAACAGCGGAUGUGCCCAGAUGGGAUGAGCUAGUAGGUGGGGUAAAGGCUCACCUAGGCGACGAUCCCUAGCUGGUCUGAGAGGAUGACCAGCCACACUGGAACUGAGACACGGUCCAGACUCCUACGGGAGGCAGCAGUGGGGAAUAUUGCACAAUGGGCGAAAGCCUGAUGCAGCCAUGCCGCGUGUAUGAAGAAGGCCUUCGGGUUGUAAAGUACUUUCAGCGGGGAGGCGUUACCCGCAGAGGAAGCACCGGCUAACUCCGUGCCAGCAGCCGCGGUAAUUC
rnacentral:rRNA from 1 species